UUUUUAAUAUGAAAAGGAAUUCUUUGCUGUUUGGAAACAUUACAAAUAUCACAGUUUUAUAUACUUGGUUCUUGCAAAAUGCUAGGAAUAUGGCUUAAAGUAACCAGUGGAGCACGUCCUAAUCUAUGAUGCCAGAAAGGACACUUAUCACAAUCUUUAUACCUGCUAUUACAAGUACAUAUGUAGGAAUCAGGUUGACUAUGGUUGGUUUUAAGUGUGGUAGAAAGGAUAGUGUUACUGCUCAAUCUAUAUAGGCCACCUUGCACUUUUCCCACUGCAAUCACCUCUUUAGUCAAUAGGUCCUGCAAUACACACUUGUUCCCAUUCUCUCUUCGAGAUUCAGCAUUAGAGUGGUAUGACACACUUCGACAAGCCACUAUGGCUACUUCGGAGCAGCUAUCUCAAGCUUUUCU
rnacentral:misc_RNA from 1 species